AACGAACGCUGGCGGCAUGCCUAACACAUGCAAGUCGAACGAUCCCUUCGGGGAUAUUGGCGCACGGGUUCGUAACGCGUGGGAACCUUCCCUUAUGUUCGGCCUAACUCAGAGAAAUUUGUGCUAAUACCGGAUAAUGUCUUCGGCCCAAAGAUUUAUCGCCUUUGGAUGGGCCCGCGUUGGAUUAGCCUGUUGGUAGGGUAAAGGCAUACCAAGGCGACAAUGCAUAGCUGGUUUGAGAGGAAGGUCAGCCACACUGGGAGUGAGACACGGCCGAGAAUCCUACGGAAGGGGGGAGUGGGGAAUAGUGGACAAUGGGGGAAAGCAUGAUCGAGUAAUGACGCGAGAGUGAUGAAAGCAUUGGAGUUGAAAAGCGCAAUUAACCGGGAUGAUAAUGACAGUACCGGAAGAAUAAGCCCCGGCUAACUCCGUG
rnacentral:rRNA from 1 species